CCAGGUGCUGGGUUCAGGACGUCUGUGCUUCAGAAGUAUGAAGUUAGGUGCAGCGACUUCGUCCUGUAGUGAGCU